rnacentral:tRNA from 66 species
GGGGCCUUAGCUCAGUUGGUAGAGCGCUACCUUUGCAAGGUAGAUGUCAGGAGUUCGAUUCUCCUAGGCUCCACAA